rnacentral:lncRNA from 1 species
CCGAGGUUUAUAACCCUUAUGAUUUGCUAUCAUACGGAUUGAAAUCAUAUCGUCAGUUUCUUUAAAAAUGGAAGACCAAAAGCCUUUUUAUCAGAUUUUACUAUAUUAAGUUUUUUUUUUUUUCAAACACACUUAGAAGUUAAAGAAGCUAGAUGAUCUGUAUUGCACAAAGCAAUUUGGUAGUAUGUAGUUGAUUAAUCUAAUCUUGUUAAGACCAAAUUCAACAAACGAUAAGUCAAAAUUUGUUCCACAGUCACAUAACCAUGUGUCGUGGAUCUCAACCCAACAUUUGAC